GAUGAACGCUGGCGGCGUGCCUAAUACAUGCAAGUCGAGCGAACAGACGAGGAGCUUGCUCCUCUGACGUUAGCGGCGGACGGGUGAGUAACACGUGGAUAACCUACCUAUAAGACUGGGAUAACUUCGGGAAACCGGAGCUAAUACUGGAUAAUAUAUUGAACCGCAUGGUUCAAUAGUGAAAGACGGUUUUGCUGUCACUUAUAGAUGGAUCCGCGCCGCAUUAGCUAGUUGGUAAGGUAACGGCUUACCAAGGCAACGAUGCGUAGCCGACCUGAGAGGGUGAUCGGCCACACUGGAACUGAGACACGGUCCAGACUCCUACGGGAGGCAGCAGUAGGGAAUCUUCCGCAAUGGGCGAAAGCCUGACGGAGCAACGCCGCGUGAGUGAUGAAGGUCUUCGGAUCGUAAAGCUCUGUUAUUAGGGAAGAACAAAUGUGUAAGAAACUAUGCACGUCUUGACGGUACCUAAACAGAAAGCCACGGCUAACUACGUG
rnacentral:rRNA from 1 species